rnacentral:rRNA from 1 species
GAUGAACGCUGGCGGCGUGCUUAACACAUGCAAGUCGAACGAUGAUCCCAGCUUGCUGGGGGAUUAGUGGCGAACGGGUGAGUAACACGUGAGUAACCUGCCCUUGACUCUGGGAUAAGCCUGGGAAACUGGGUCUAAUACCGGAUAUGACCGCUCUGACGCAUGUCAGGUGGUGGAAAGCUUUUGUGGUUUUGGAUGGA